UACGGAGGGGACUAGCGUUGUUCGGAAUUACUGGGCGUAAAGCGCACGUAGGCGGAUUUGUAAGUCAGGGGUGAAAUCCCGGAGCUCAACUCCGGAACUGCCUUUGAUACUGGCGAUCUAGAGAUCGAGAGAGGUGAGUGGAAUUCCGAGUGUAGAGGUGAAAUUCGUAGAUAUUCGGAAGAACACCAGUGGCGAAGGCGGCUCACUGGCUCGAUACUGACGCUGAGGUGCGAAAGCGUGGGGAGCAAACAGG
rnacentral:rRNA from 1 species